GACGGAAGGUGCAAGCGUUGCUCGGAAUCACUGGGCGUAAAGGGUGCGUAGGCGGGUCUUUUAAGUCAGGGGUGAAAUCCUGGAGCUCAACUCCAGAACUGCCUUUGAUACUGAAGAUCUUGAGUUCGGGAGAGGUGAGUGGAACUGCGAGUGUAGAGGUGAAAUUCGUAGAUAUUCGCAAGAACACCAGUGGCGAAGGCGGCUCACUGGCCCGAUACUGACGCUGAGGCACGAAAGCGUGGGGAGCAAACAGG
rnacentral:rRNA from 1 species